CUGGUUUCAAACUCCUGGGCUCAAGCAGUCCUCCCACCCCAGCCUCCCAAAGUGCUGGAUUUACAGGCAUGAGCCAUUGUGCCCGGCCAAAAAAAAAUGUUUUUAAUUAGUUGGGCAUGGUGGCACGUGCCUGUGGUCCCAGCUACUCAGGAGGCUGAGGCAGGAGGAUUGCUUGAGCCUGAGAGAUUGAGGCUGCAGUGAGCUGUGUUUGCGCCACCGCACUGGUGACACAGCAAGACCCUGUCUCAACCAAAAUCAAAUUUUAAACCCAAAUUUAUAUAUGCCAACUCAGGCUUUUACUUUAUUAACAACCUGUUAUAAAUAAACACUUAAGAACAUUUAAAGAGCAGUGUUCUGCUUAUUCUUUGG
rnacentral:lncRNA from 10 species